rnacentral:lncRNA from 13 species
CACCACACUUAGCCAAAGCGACAGCAGCUGCCGAAAGACAAAGCAAGGAUCCAGCAUUAAUCCUAUCAUGAGAGCUUCACUCUUAUAAUCUAAUUACCUCCCAAAGCUCCACCUUCUAAUACCGUCACACUGGGAAUUAGAAUUUCAACAUACGAAUUUGAAGGUGUAGGGGGAAGAAACCUCCAAUCCAUAAGAGAAGAGAAAGGAGGAGAAGGAAAACAAAAAAAAGGAAGAUGGAGUUUCACUCUGGUUGUCCAAGCUAGAGUGAAAUAGCCUGAUCUUGGCUCACUGCUACCUCUGCCUCCCGGGUUCAAGCGAUUCUCCUGCCUCAUCCUUCUGAGAAGCUGUAACUACAGGUAUGUGCCUCCACGCUUGGCUAAUUUUUUGUAUUUUUAGUAGAGACUGGGUUUUUACCAUGUUGGCUA